rnacentral:lncRNA from 1 species
GCAUAUAUCACCGCAUUUUGAAUUGCAUCACUCAGCAAUGAAAGACUAGCUUAAAGUUUGACUCCCAGAGCUGGCACACAGUGGAGUCCUUCGAGGAGUAAUUGUUUGAAUCCAGCAGGCAGUUAUGUGGUGCACCGGACCCUGCACCCCAGAACACGUGGAGAAGGGUGCCUGGCCAUGGCUCCAGUCAGCUCAUGCCACAUGUGACCCCGCAAUGCCCACAAACACUCAACUGAGGAGAAUCAAGAAUUAAAGGAAAUCAACCAUGGCCAGCAAAUUGAGACUGAAAAUGGACCUGAUUAGCCAUCUCCUUGUGUCUGUUGUUCUUAGGACUCUGCAAUUUCUCCUGGAAGAACUGUAGUUUAUUUUCCUGUUUGUGGAAUCUGGGCCUUAUGAUUUGUUCUGACCAGUGGGAUGUGGCAGGCCUGUAAUCUCAGCAAUUGGGAGGCUGAGGCAGGAGAAGUGAUGAGGAGUCACUUCUAAGUCCAGAUGUCUAGAAGCCCUUCUUGCAUCCUACUUUUUGGAACUCUCUCUCCACUGCACACCCUGCUAGAGGACGGAA